UAAAUACGAGAUGCUACGGCGUCGAAGCAGUGUAUGUCAGACUUCCAAGAAAAGCUCGCAAUGUCAUAAAUAAAGAAUGCCUGUACCAUAACCGACACAGGUGGGUAGGUAGAGUAUACUAAGGGGCGCGAGAUAACUCUCUCUAAGGAACUCGGCAAAAUAACUCCGUAACUUCGGGAGAAGGAGUGCCUUCUUUAAGAAGGUUGCAAUAACAAGAUCCAAGCAACUGUUUAUCAAAAACACAGGUCUCCGCUAAGUCGUAAGACGAUGUAUGGGGGCUGACGCCUGCCCAGUGCCAGAAGGUUAAAGAAGUUGGUUAGCUUUUGCGAAGCUGAUGACUGAAGCCCUGGUGAACGGCCCGUAACAAUAACGGUCCUAAGGUAGCGAAAUUCCUUGUCGGGUAAGUUCCGACCCGCACGAAGGGCGUAAUGAUUUGGAUACUGUCUCGGAGAGGGACUCGGUGAAAUAGACUUGUCUGUGAUGAUGCGGACUACCUGCACCAGGACAGAAAGACCCUAUGAAGCUUUACUGUAACUUGAAAUUGAAAUUGGACUUUAUUUGCGCAGUAUAGGUGGAAGGCGUUGAAAGUAAUCUUGCGGGAUUAGUGGAGCCAUCAGUGAGAUACCACUCCUAUAAUGUUAGAUUUCUAACUUUGGAUCAUGAUCUGGUCAAAGAACAGUUUCAGGCGGGCAGUUUGACUGGGGCGGUCGCCUCCCAAAUGGUAACGGAGGCGUACAAAGGUUUCCUCUGAACGGGUAGAAAUCGUAUCUAGAGUGUAAAGGCAUAAGGAAGCUUGACUGUGAGACCUACAAGUCGAGCAGGGACGAAAGUCGGUCUUAGUGAUCUGACGGUGCUGAGUGGAAAGGCCGUCACUCAACGGAUAAAAGUUACUCUAAGGAUAACAGGCUGAUCUCCCCCAAGAGUUCACAUCGACGGGGAGGUUUGGCACCUUGAUGUCGGCUCAUCGCAUCCUGGGGCGGUAGUACGUCCCAAGGGUUGGGCUGUUCGCCCAUGAAAGCGGUACGCGAGCUGGGUUCAGAACGUCGUGAGACAGUUCGGUCCAUAUCCGGUGUAGGCGUUAGAAUAUUGAGAGGAGCCUUCUUUAGUACGAGAGGACCGAGAAGGACAUACCUCUGGUGUACCAGUUAUCGUGCCAACGGUAAACGCUGGGUAGCUAUGUAUGGAGAGGAUAACCGCUGAAAGCAUCUAAGUGGGAAGCCCACCUCAAGAUGAG
rnacentral:rRNA from 1 species